UACAGAGGGGGCAAGCGUUGUUCGGAAUUACUGGGCGUAAAGGGCGCGUAGGCGGCCUUCUAAGUCGAACGUGAAAUCCCUGGGCUCAACCCAGGAACUGCGUCCGAUACUGGAAGGCUUGAAUCCGGGAGAGGGAUGCGGAAUUCCAGGUGUAGCGGUGAAAUGCGUAGAUAUCUGGAGGAACACCGAUGGCGAAGGCAGGUCUCUGGGCUGACACUGACGCUCAUGCACGAAAGCGUGGGGAGCAAACAGG
rnacentral:rRNA from 1 species